UACGGAGGGUGCAAGCGUUAAUCGGAAUUACUGGGCGUAAAGCGCGCGUAGGCGGACUGUUAAGUCGGUUGUGAAAGCCCUGGGCUCAACCUGGGAACUGCAUCCGAUACUGGCAAUCUAGAGUUUAAGAGAGGGAAGGGGAAUUCCUAGUGUAGCAGUGAAAUGCGUAGAUAUUAGGAGGAACAUCAGUGGCGAAGGCGCCUUCCUGGCUUAAAACUGACGCUGAGGUGCGAAAGCGUGGGUAGCGAACGGG
rnacentral:rRNA from 1 species